UCUGAAACACAAUAGUCAGAUGCACACUCUU
rnacentral:piRNA from 1 species